GACGAAGGAUGCAAGCGUUAUCCGGAUUCAUUGGGUUUAAAGGGUGCGUAGGCGGCCCGGUAAGUCAGUGGUGAAAUCUCCUUGCUUAACAAGGAAACUGCCAUUGAUACUGCUGGGCUUGAGUACAGAUGCUGUGGGCGGAAUAUGACAUGUAGUGGUGAAACACAUAGAGAUGUCAUAGAACACCGAUUGCGAAGGCAGCUCACAAAACUGUAACUGACGCUGAGGCACGAAAGUGCGGGGAUCAAACAGG
rnacentral:rRNA from 1 species